GGAGAGAUGGCUCAGAGGGUAAGAGCACUGGCCACUCUUCCAGAAGACCUGAGUUCAAUUCCCAGAAUCUACA
rnacentral:tRNA from 1 species